UUGAGAGAUAUUCAGAAACAGAGAUAUAGUUGAGUGUUAAUUAAUUUUAUACGUACACUUUUUGAGGUCGUUUUCGAACUCUUGAUAUGGCAUCUAACAAAUCGAUAAAGAAACACAGAAAAGUCAGUUGACAGACGCAGACUGUGAUUUCAUUAAUGGGAUCUGCUGAUGUGCCUGCGGAAAUUGUUCGUUUGCAAGAAAUAAAUAAAAUUCUUCAAAUUGAAAAUGCAAGAUUAAGAGCGCAUAUCAAUAGUGGAUCAAUUCAACAACUUACAGCUACAGAUGAAAAUGAAGUAGAGUUAACACAAAUGACAGAGACGAAUUCGCCAUCAGAAGAACGAAUAGCAAAAAUAUGAAUAGGAUGUUCAUGUAAGGGAUAUUGUCAAAGCAAACAAUGUGGUUGUGUGAAAAAAAAUUCUUCAUGUAACGAUUCCUGCAAGUGUAACAAAUCUGCAUGUCACAAUCAAAAUGAUCAAAGGAAGAAAUCAAAAGUAUUUAAAGAGCUUCGUACCUGUCUUUUAUCUUCCGAAGGCACACUGAGCAUUUUACCCCGACGUCUUGUUUGGAC